AUUGAACGCUGGCGGCAGGCCUAACACAUGCAAGUCGAACGAGUGGCGGACGGGUGAGUAAUGUCUGGGAAAUUGCCCGAUGGAGGGGGAUAACUCCUGGAACCGGUAGCUAUUACCGCAUACCAUCGGAUGUGCCCAGAUGGGAUUAGCUAGUAGGUGGGGUAACGGCUCACCUAGGCGACGAUCCCUAGCUGGUCUGAGAGGAUGACCAGCCACACUGGAACUGAGACACGGUCCAGACUCCUACGGGAGGCAGCAGUGGGGAAUAUUGCGCAAUGGGCGAAAGCCUGAUGCAGCCAUGCCGCGUGUAUGAAGAAGGUCUUCGGAUUGUAAAGUACUUUCAGCGGGGAAGCGUUACCUACAGAAGAAGCCCCGGCUAACUCCGUGCCAGCAGCCGCGGUAAUAC
rnacentral:rRNA from 1 species